UCUAUAAAUUGAGGGUUGCUGUUUGAAUUUUUAUGAGUCAAACAAAAAAUAAGUUUUAUUUCAGAUUUUAAUCAGUAAGAUGAUUAAACUUCCAUUGAUAUUCACAGUAAUAAUUACACUGAAAAGUUUUACUUUGGGUUCAGUCCAGAAAGGCUCAUUUCAUGUGGGACGGAUCAGAGAAGGGCAAAUGGAAUACGACAAAUUGAAUGGAAGAUUUUCCAUUGAGCAGGCGCAGUCUAUAUGUGAUAAAGAUCCUACAUGUGGAGGAUUCACGUUUAAGGGACCUAAAGACUCGCAGGUAAAUUUUCC